rnacentral:misc_RNA from 1 species
GGGAACAACCUAGGGAAAAAAAAACAUAAAGAAUAGGGGGGAGGGGGAGUGGGUGGUGUUGCAGGUGGAAUUUCUGCAUAUGAUAUAAUGUGAUCUUGUGCCCAUCAAAACAGGAGAGAGAGAGAGGAAGGGGGGAGAAGACACAUGCUUGAAGGAAGAAUUAAAGGCUGCUUGCCAACUGAGCCAGGAAGAAAAUGGUCAAUUAAUAAUCUUUUUCAAGUUUCUUUCACCCCUCUAAGGAGAAAGGAAUGGGAGAGAUUUGAUUUCUAAUUUUUAUUUUUUGGAUUUCUUUUCCCGUUUCUCUUAAUUUUUCUAAACCAAUCAUUGGUUUCCACACUCCUAAUGGGACUUGUAGAAGUUGAACAAAAGAAGUUACAGUAUUCUCUACAAUAACAACCAAGUCUUAAUCC